rnacentral:rRNA from 1 species
UAAUACGGAGGGGGUUAGCGUUGUUCGGAAUUACUGGGCGUAAAGCGCACGUAGGCGGAUUAGAAAGUUAGAGGUGAAAUCCCAGGGCUCAACCCUGGAACUGCCUUUAAAACUCCUAGUCUUGAGUUCGUGAGAGGUGAGUGGAAUUCCAAGUGUAGAGGUGAAAUUCGUAGAUAUUUGGAGGAACACCAGUGGCGAAGGCGGCUCACUGGCUCGAUACUGACGCUGAGGUGCGAAAGUGUGGGGAGCAAACAGGAUUAGAUACCCUGGUAGUCCACACCGUAAACGAUGAAUGCCAGUCGUCGGGUAGUAUACUAUUCGGUGACACACCUAACGGAUUAAGCAUUCCGCCUGGGGAGUACGGUCGCAAGAUUA